UAACUCUACUAAGAGUGUUUUAUUCAAGCUUAUGGUUAAUCAUUGUUGAUUGCCAUAAAAAUUGUACUCUGUACAUCUUGCAUGUAUAAGUCAGGUAUGAAAGGCUGAUCACCUUCAUUACUAGUUGGUUCAGAAAUGUUUGUUCAUGUUUAAAACUUGUUCAGUCAAAAGUUUGUUCAUACUAGUUCUCAAUUAUAUUGAUGAAUUAUAGCCAGCUCUUUAUUCUGACUCUUUCAAUCAUGAUAUAUCCUUAAAUUGUAUUUAAACUUGCUGGGCAACUUUUAUGCUCACCCUUGCUAUAUCAUGAUAAAACAUUGCAGAUAAGGCGAAUGCGUUCGGAUACAGAAAAAGGUUAAUGCCAAGUUCAACUUGGGAUAAAAUGUGCGGCUAGUUUGUAAUAGUAUAGUUUGAUAAUUGUGUUAUGUGUUAGAAAGUUUAUGAAUUGUGUUUAAGUUAAGGUUACUCGAUUUUGGGGAAUAGUGUAUAAAGUUUAAUGUAUAAAUAAUUUAUGUUUAUAUCUUCCUCAAUUAGUAAUAGAAAUAGUGUACCGAAUCCGAGGUGAUUUGGGACCUGGAUUCGAGGAUGCUACAGUUGGUAUCAAAGCUGUUGGUUAUGACGCUUAGGUAGUAAUACCUGAGACCAAUAACCGCAGUGAUUAGGAUUAAGUACUAACUCAAAUAGAGUUAGUUGGUCGGUAAGAUUCAAAGAUGAAUCUCGGCGAGUGUAAAGACACAGAGUUCCCUAACUCUGGUAAUAGUGGUGAACAGAAGUGGUGAACAGUAGUGCAGUGAUAGGAGAUCGUAAAACAAAAUGAUCAAGGCAUAGAAAUAAAUCGUAAUAUAUACGAUGAGAUCACCCCGUGAUCUGAUAAGGUUAUGACAGCCAGAAAGAAUCAAUUUGAUGAUUGAAAAGUUUAUAGCAUGACGCUGUGUGUAAGUUGUACUAUGAAAUUGUACUAUGAAAACUCAUGAAAGAGUUGUGGAUUAUGGAUACGAAUUAAAUGAAAUUCGUAUGGAAAAAGGGGGUUAAGAUUAGGUGGGGAUUUCAAUUGAGGACUCAUGUCGGCAGCUGAGUUGUAUGAUUCCUUGUAUGGGUGGGGAAUUUGUACUUAGUUUUAGAGUCACUUAGCUUCCUGGUCGAUGUAGUGGUUAGGUUGACCAAUUCUUUGUAUGGGCGGGAAAUUGUUCACUUAGCUUCCUAUAUUGAUUAGUGGCCGAGUUUGGUUUGACAAUCACUUAGUUUCUGGCAUUGAUAAUCAUUGAAAUGUUUGUGUCGCGCUAUUGCUAUAUGCAGGUUAAGAGCGUGAUUCCUUUCUCAUGUGUAUAACAAAUAGAUAGGUCAUAGGUAGAGAAUAUAGGAUUAAGUACGAGUUCUUAAAACUCAUACUUAUGUGAAAUACUUGAUUCAUAGUUAUAUGAAACGUUUAUGAACCCCUCAGUGAACGGACGCCAAACGUCAGACUAGGAUAAGUUCUUAAACUCAUAUGAUUGUGGAAAUUUAUGGACUCAUAAGUGUGGUUUUAUGAACUGGAUAUAGUUAUGUGUGAAUGGAGUGUUAAGGAUUAUAGGAACAGAUAGAUUGUUAAGCAAAUGAUCAUUAGUGGAGACUUAGGUUUUCCUAAACUCCUAGCUAUGCUAAACUUCAAAAUUUUGACAUCAAGCUAAAUACGCACUAUGUGCCUUUUAAAAAAAAUGUAGACUCGUAACCAUUUUUGAAACGGUUUAAAAUACAGUCUAUGCUACUUAUUUCAGCUAGACUAAAAUGAUUUGAAAUAUCAAAAUAUAUUUUAAUUAUCGCUCAUGUACCAUGUAACCUGGUGCAGAGAUGAUAAAAAUGUGAUGGAGUUGUAAAUACAGGAAUACUUAGAGUGAAUUUGACAUAAAGUCGUUGUUCCUCUAAAUUAAUGAUGUGUUAUGACAAAGUCAUACAAUGACGGCAUCCUCAAACGGACUGUUAAUACAGUACGGCAUCAUGGCGUCAUUCUCGAAAAUAUUUUUAAAAAUUUUAAUUUGCCAACGGGGUUUGGCUACACCUAAAUUAUUCGAUUGAAUUGAAUUAUCAAUAUGAGUCUAUGCUAUUUGAUUCAGCUAGACUAAUGUUAUGAAAACUCUUAGUGUUCAUUGAAAAAAAUUUCUCGAACCAAAUUGUUUUGGUACGGAAUCCUAUGAUAAGACUGAGGUGAACGAUAAUGUUUGGAUAAAUAAUCCAAUCUAGUAGCGUAAAUAUUCGCUAGAAAUGAUUAAUACGUUAUGCAUGAUGUAAGAGUACGAUAGGCUAAUCACCUAAAGUACUAGUAAUGGUAGUUUACCUUCUUUGUGAUUGUAAACAUACCAAGUAAUGUUUUGUUUUGCGGUAUGAAUACCGUUAAAACUAAGUGUUCAUGGUCUAUAUGACCCCUCAGCACAAUUUGAAAACUUUUGCUCUUGUGAGUGGUGUAUUGGGUAGCAUGUGAUAUGUGUGAAUGGUAUAAGGUGCACGGUGUAAGGUGUAAGGUGUAAGGUGAAUUUCGGGGAAGAAAUUCUUAUAAGGAGGGGUGACUGUGACAACCCGAGAAUUUAGACUAUUUAUUCAAAAUCUUAACUGAUUGAUUUAAGGUCAAAUAUUAGACCUAGACAGAAAAUAAGUUUAUGCGUUUGAUGUUAUUGGGAUGGAAUUUUGAGGAUUUCAAAAUUCUGUGAAGGAUUUAGGUGAAUUAUCCAGGAUUAAGGAUUUAUGUGAAUAUGUUUUAUGUUUUUGAUUAUGUAUGUGUUCAGAAUGUGGUUGGGGGUUAAGGGUUGACCAAAUUAAUUAUAUAUGUGUCAAACCCUAAUCGUAUAUUAAGAACAUCAGCGUUCAGUUAGAAAACCCUAACGUCUAAUAAGAAACCCUAAAAAUCAGUUCUGGAAACCCUAGUCUCAGUUCCGGGAGUCCGAAACCCUAAUUCGGUAUAUAAAACCCUAGAUUGGGAAUGCAAUGCUAUGUAUAAUGUUUAACGUUAUUAAUUAUAAAUUAAUUAGGGAAAACCCUAAUGAAUUACCUGAAACCUUAAAUUGCUUAUUAGAAAACCCUGAUACUUGAUCUGAAAAUCCUAAUUUCAGAUUUCGGUAAUUUGAAACCCUAAUCUGGGAACUUAACGGAGAAUUUUAAUGCUUUAGUGCUAUUAUUAUAAUAUUAAUUAGGGUAACGCUUAAUUAAUUAGCAAACCCUAAUUUCAAAUUAUCGAACUUUAAAUUGUUCCGUCAGGAACCCUAAUGUACAGUUGUGGAUUAAAUUGCCAAAUUAGCAAUAUUAAUUAGGAAUUAUAAAUCCUAAUUUUCAAGUUAUUAGAAACCCUAAUCUGAUUAGGAAAUCUAGUUUCUAAAUUUAAAAUAUUAUUUUCUAUUCAAAACCCUAAUUUAUGGGUUAUAAAUUAUAAUGUACAAAUUUGACCCUAAGUGCUAAAUUAGUAAUUUUAAUUAGGAUAAAUUAGUCCUAAUUAGCAAAGAUUGAUUUAUGAUUAGGAAAUUAAGAUAUAAUUAGGAAGCUCUAAUCAUAAUUCAAAAAUCAUGAUUUUCUAUUUUAAAAUCUAAUUAGAAAAUCUUAGAAAUCCAAGUUGCUAAAUCUGUAAGGGUUAAACCCUAAACCCUAAAGGGUUAAACCCUAAACCCUAACAAACCCUAAACCCUAAGGGUUUGUAGCAAAUACCAAUUUUAGAAUUAAAAUAGCAUGGAAAUGACCAAAAUGCCCUUAUGCCACAUUUUAUAUUAGGUUGCUUGCAAAUCUUGUUAAAUCCUUGGUUGUUCAACAGCUACAACCACUCCUUGUGAUAGCAAAUCAGCUAACAACAACUCCCAUCAGCCACAUUCAUUGAAUUCCAUAAAUAUAUAAGACUAAAAGAGAGAGAAAAGUUCAUUCUUUAUUUUCAUUUUGUCCAAGUCACUUCUCUCUCUAGAAAUUCGGGAGUUAGUAAGAUAAAGAGUGAUGAGAUGAAGCAUGAUCAGUUCAUAGAAAGCCAAGAACAGAAAUCAAAAGGCAGAAAUCAAGAUCAAAGCAUAAAAGGUAUAAAAAUCCUAACCUUGCAAAUCUAUGAUUCUGAUGUUUAAUGUUGUUGUUUGUUGGUUAAACAUGUGUAAUAGGGUGUCAAAUGAUGAUCUGGGUUGUCAAAACACAAACCCAUAACAUCAAAUUACUCGAAUCUAGCAUUUUCAAAAAUCUGGAAAAAGGUUGAAAAGUGGUGUGACAGCCUAAUGUCAGGACCCAUAGAUCCGUGUGUGUUAGUUUUUUUGUGUAUUUUAUGUUAUAAACUUUCUCUAUGCCAUGAGGUCUUUAAUCUCCAACUUGAAUCAGGUCCAGAUCUUGUGUAGAUCGCAAGUUAUGAACGGUCAAAGACAGUUGACCGAUCACGAUUUCUGGAAUUCUGGGCAAACCCAGAAACCCAGAUCGCCUGACAACGUUUUCUGUGCUCUUGAUCUUGUUGUGGUUUAAGUGUUGGGCGAAGUGGUUGUUUUUAUGUUGUUUUCUGUUAUAUGGACUACAUAAAUAAGCUUUUAGAUCACUUAGAUCAUAACCAGGAUGAAAGUUAUAAUAGGUCAAACAUGCGUUGACCACCAGCUUUGAAGAAAUUCUGGGAAACCCAGAAUUCGGCCAAGAGCAGUUUUGUGGCUUAGUUUGACCGGCUCAAAUUUUACAUGUGUGAUGUUUUUAAGUUAAUAUUAUGUGAUAUAAUGGUACCUUGACAUCCGGACUACAAAAUAGAACCCCUAGAUCACAUAAAUCGAACAUAGAAUGAAAGUUAUAAGGACCCAAAGUAGGUACCUUUGAUUCUCUUAAACCCAGAAAGUUGAAGAACAGGUCUGACAAGUAGUUUGAGAGCUUAGAUCUCUCAGCUGUGUUGUUAUUUGACCAUGAAACUUGAUUGCAGUUGUAGAAUUACAUGAGUACUACAAUCUAAAAGUUUUAACCAACUCAUAAAGCAACAAGAACACUGUUUUAAUUGUGGUCAAACCAGCCCCUCGCAUGCUGCCUUGUCAGUGUUCUUGAGGCUCAAGAACACCUAAGGCGACGGUUGUCUGUCGCUAAAGGCUUUAGCGACGGUUUUAAUUAUUUUUAUUUUCUAGAAAUUCCAAAAAUGAAUUAAAAAUUAGAAAAAUUAGAUUUUAAUUAUUAAAAAUACAUAAUAAAUUCUAAAAAAUUAUUUUAAAGUCCGAAAAAUAGUUUUUAAUUAUUUUAAGUGUAUUUCAAAAAUAUUUAAUAUUUUAGGAAUAUAAAUGGUAUUUAUUUAUUUAAUUACAAUAUUAUAUAAAUUAUUUAAAAAUAGUUUUAAUUCAUAAAAAAUCAUGAAAAAUUAUAUUAUCGUGUUUGAAAAUAUUUGAAGUUAUUUUUAAUGAGUUUUAAUAUUUUGUGAUGAAAUUCAUUAAUUAAUCAAUAUUAAUGGUAAUUAGUUUUUUUAAUAAUUAUAUUAAAUAAAUUAAGGAAAAAUGGAAUUAAUGAUUUAAAAAUCAUAUAAAAAUGAUUUAAAUUAUAAAAUAUAACUUUUGAUAUUUUGGCAUGAAAAUAUUAAUAUUUUAAUAUUAAUAUCAAUUAUCGGAUAAUGGAUUUAAGUAUUUAAAAAUCAUAUAAAAUGAUUUUAAGGUAUUAAAAAUACUUUGAUGUAUUAUAAUCAUAUUAUAAUAUUAUGUAAUGAUUUUCAUUAAUAUUUUAUAUUAAAUGAAUAUUAAUGAUUAAGAAAUUAUGUGGUAUUUAAUUCAUUUAAAUACGGUUUUCAUGAUUGAAAAAUGGUGAUAAAUGGUAAUAAUUAUCCGAAAAUUAUUACGAGCCUAGGAAAAAUGUUUUGACUGAUAAGAAAUUAUCUGUGAUAAUUGUUAAGUGCUAAGGAAGAGUUUAAUUGAACUUAAACUCGAUAUUCGUCCGACUAGACCGUCGGGAUGAUAGGAUUGUGUCUGUUUCAACUCAGACUUAAACAAUUUGACUUGAUGAUAUGUCUUAUGUGCUGUAUAGACGUAUAGGGUUAUGUGUUAUGUGUUUAGGUUAUUCUAUGUGUAUAAAUAUAACAGAAUUAUACUGUGAUGAUAUUAUUCUAAUAUUGGAGAUCUAUAUUACUAAUAUUAGGUCUUCGGGUAAUGCGAUAUAAAUUGUGUAGCGGUAAUCAACGGUUCAGGCAAGUUUGUAUUCACUUAACUCUACUAAGAGUGUUUUAUUCAAGCUUAUGGUUAAUCAUUGUUGAUUUCCAUGAAAAUUGUACUCUGUACAUCUUGCAUGUAUAAGUCAGGUAUGAAAGGCUGAUCACCUUCAUUACCAGUUGGUUCAGAAAUGUUUGUUCAUGUUUAAAACUUGUUCAGUCAAAAGUUUGUUCAUGCUAAUUCUCAAUUAUAUUGAUGAAUUAUAGCCAGCUCUUUAUU
rnacentral:lncRNA from 1 species